rnacentral:rRNA from 1 species
UACGUAGGGUGCAAGCGUUAAUCGGAAUUACUGGGCGUAAAGCGUGCGUAGACGGUUAUUUAAGUCGGAUGUGAAAGCCCCGGGCUCAACCUGGGAAUUGCAUUCGAGACUGAAUAGCUAGGGUGCGGUAGAGGGAAGCGGAAUUUCCGGUGUAGCGGUGAAAUGCGUAGAUAUCGGAAGGAACACCGGUGGCGAAGGCGGGUCUCUGGGCAGUAACUGACGCUGAGGAGCGAAAGCGUGGGGAGCGAACAGG